UCCUGCUCUGGGACCCCGCCGGCCCCGCCCCCGAGCCCGGCCCCGCCCCCUGCGGAGACCACGCCCCUCCGGAGGACCCCGCCCCCUCGGGAGGCUCCGCCCCCUUCCGGCCCUGCAGCUCCGGGCUGGGCACGGACUCGGACUCGGAGCAGGAGCAGGAGGAGGAGGAGGAGGAGGAGGGGGACGAAGGCCCCGGGGGGUCCCCGCAGGACCCUGGGGACACCGGGGACCCCCCCGGGCCCCCCCGGAGCGGCGGCGCCAUCCUGGUCACCGUGCCCUGGGGGCGCGUCACCGCCGACUGUCCCCCCGAGGGGGGGGUCCCCGGCUCGCGGCUGGAGCUGGAGCUGGGGGAGGGGCGGCUCUGUGUCCUCCCCCGCCCGGGGGGGCUCCGGGGGCUCUCCCGCGCCUGCGCCGACGCCCGGAGCCUGCGGCUGCUGCACGGUACCCCAAAAACCGGGGGGACCCCGAAACCGGGGGGACCCCAGAACGGGACCCCGAAACCGGGGGGACCCCGAAACC